rnacentral:rRNA from 1 species
UACGAAGGGGGCUAGCGUUGCUCGGAAUCACUGGGCGUAAAGCGCACGUAGGCGGAUUGUUAAGUCAGGGGUGAAAUCCUGGAGCUCAACUCCAGAACUGCCUUUGAUACUGGCGAUCUCGAGUCCGGGAGAGGUGAGUGGAACUGCGAGUGUAGAGGUGAAAUUCGUAGAUAUUCGCAAGAACACCAGUGGCGAAGGCGGCUCUCUGGGACGGUACUGACGCUGAGACGCGAAAGCGUGGGGAGCGAACAGG